CGUCCGACCGCCCGUCCGUCGGUCUGUCCGCUCCCCCACCCCCCACCCGUCCUUCCUGCGGGCGCCGCGCAAGUCUGCAGGUCGGAGGGUCGCCUGGGUUCUCCUGGGCGCCCGUCGCCCGCCUCGCUCCCGGGCCACGCCUCGGCGGUGGCGCCUGCAGAACCCGGUACCGCGCAGGUUCGGGUCUCGCCGGGGCCGGACCUGGCAGCCCGCGCUCCGCGGCCCGGGCCGCCGCCUCAGACGCCACUUGUGGAGUUCUUCCCUGAGCGGCUGUAACUUUAAACCAGUGUGAGUGAGGCCUAUUUUUAUUCAGAAACUAGCGACUAGGGUGUCUGUGGAGAAUGCUCGCUCUCUUGGAGAGCCAGCCCGCCACUUAAAAGUUCUUUCACAAAUUGGAGCCGAAGGAAGGAAGUCUUGCCCUAAUAACCUUUCUUUGAGAUUUCAAAGUUCCAUUGCCUACUCCCAGGGAGGGUCAGAUUGGUUGCUGUGGGGCUUUUUGAUGAGGCUGUUGCCUAAGCUGGAGGAGCAGUGCUUGAACUCCACCGCCUGGCCUCUAAGUGGUUAUCCCCAGGCCACCACACUUGAGCCAGGCCUGAGCUGGGGCCUAGUGUCCCUCUUGCAGGGAUUGCUCCAAGACCCCGGGAUAGGCCCACGUUGGCGAGGAGCAGGGAGAUGAAUGUAGCAGCCAAGUACCGCAUGGCCUCCCUCUAUGUGGGUGACCUACAUGGAGAUGUCACCGAGGACCUGCUGUUCAAGAAGUUCAGCGCUGUGGGGCCUGUCCUGUCCAUCCGCAUCUGCAGGGACGCGGUCACGCGCCGCUCUCUGGGCUAUGCCUACGUGAACUUCUUGCAGCUGGCUGAUGCUCAGAGGGCCCUGGACACGAUGAACUUUGACAUGGUAAAAGGCAAAUCCAUCCGUCUCAUGUGGUCUCAACGUGAUGCUUACUUAAGGAGAUCUGGAAUUGGGAACGUGUUCAUCAAGAACCUGGACAAAUCCAUAGAUAACAAAACCCUUUACGAACAUUUUUCAGCUUUUGGAAAGAUCCUGUCUUCCAAGGUGAUGAGUGAUGAUCAAGGCUCCAAGGGCUAUGCCUUUGUGCACUUUCAGAACCAGAGUGCUGCAGACAGGGCCAUUGAGGAAAUGAAUGGAAAGCUGCUCAAGGACUGCAAGGUGUUUGUUGGCAGAUUCAAAAACCGAAAAGAUCGGGAAGCGGAACUCAGAAACAAAGCCAGUGAAUUCACCAAUGUUUAUAUCAAAAACUUCGGGGAAGACAUGGAUGAUGAGAGACUAAAGGGAGUUUUCAGCAAAUAUGGCAACACCCUGAGUGUUAAGGUGAUGACGGAUUCCAGUGGGAAAUCCAAAGGCUUUGGCUUUGUGAGUUUUGAUAGCCAUGAGGCUGCCAAAAAGGCAGUUGAAGAAAUGAAUGGCAAGGAUAUAAAUGGGCAGCUGAUUUUUGUAGGCCGAGCACAAAAGAAAGUAGAGCGACAGGCUGAGUUAAAGCAAAUGUUUGCGCAGCUGAAAAAGGAAAGACUUCGUGGGUGCCAGGGGGUAAAGCUCUAUAUUAAGAACCUUGAUGACACCAUUGAUGAUGAAAAACUACGAAAGGAAUUUUCUUCGUUUGGAUCCAUUAGCAGAGUUAAGAUCUGCGGUCCCCAACCUCCGGGGCCAUGGACCGGCACCUGUCCAUUUCCCACCAGGAACCAGGCACACAGAAGGAGAGGGAAACAGCAGACAUAAUUCAAAAAAGUUUGAGGACUAAGGAUCUUCCGAAAAGCAUUUGUAUGAAGAAUCCAUUGAAAUAUUUUUUUCUGUGCAUCUACAUUUUACAUUUGUAAGAACGCUUUGAUGGAUAUGAUGGUUUCUGUUUGAUCAAUAUUAAUUUAAAGCUGCUGAAUAUCCUUGGAGAGCUAAUCAAGAAGGUAGAAAUUUUUCCACAUUAAUGUUGUCAAGUGACAGUAGAUUUAAGAGGUAAUGAACACUAUUUACUUAAAAAGAAAAUG